UCAGGCACAAAAUAAACAAGUGCAAACAUCUUUUCAAACAACACAGAGGCAGAAGUCAGUGGGACAAUGGCUCUAAAGAGGAAGGGGGAGGUGGCCGGGGGCUCCUACGCGUUAGCUGACGUGGCAACAGAGAAGCUGAGCAGGACGUGGGAGGGGAGGGCAGAAUUUCACAGGCUCGAAGCCACCACUACCAAACACUCACGGAGGCAAAGCCCCAAAGAGCCAAGAGCUAAGCGGAAAUGGAAUAUGACAAAAUGUUGAAGAAGCCGGAAAAGGGAAAGGAGGGAUGGAGCCAGAGGGGAUGAACGAAAUGAGCGAAACGUCAGACAGAGCCCGAUUCCUUCCACGAGCACAUCGGUGUCAAUGCUUAAACACAGCAGUGGACAAAAUGACAGCCAGCAUAUGUUUUCGGAAAACCAUUCCACAGCGAGUCAGCGGUCACGUGAUCCAGAGGAACACGAUGUGGGGAGCGAGGGGGUCAGCUCUACGGCAUGUACCGGUGGAGCGAGAACGAGCUGCCCAAUGUGUCAAGCUUCUUGCACAGCAGACAAAACGUACAAAGUGUCAUCCUCACCAAGAUUAUGGCUCCCAUCGCAUGAGAACAGGAAAUCGUCAGACAGAGGCUAACGUGGAGAGAAAAGCCUGUCACCCCCACAGCCCCUGUCAACAGAGACCAGUGACCGACGGCCAGGGCCUCCUGGCCACAGCCCACCCACAGCCCAGCUCGGGUUUAGUUCCAAGGAAGUCCUCCACGCCAGGCCAGCACCCCCAUAGCGCUGCACAAGCAUCUCGAAAGACAACUCUUUCUUUACAAAUAGUCACACCCAAAAGUGAAAUGAGUAAUUCCUUCGUACUCUCAGAAUUCACAGUUCCCGUUUGUCUCAGGAAAGCUUUAGGAGAGCUUUUGUUUGUUGCUAUGCGGGGCUUAU